UACGGAGGGUGCAAGCGUUGUCCGGAAUUAUUGGGCGUAAAGGGUAGGUAGGUGGUCUCAUUUGUCUGGGGUGAAAGCCUUGGGCUUAACCCAAGAAGUGCCCCGGAAACGGUGAGACUCGAGUCCUGGAGAGGGUCGUGGAAUUCCCGGUGUAGCGGUGAAAUGCGUAGAGAUCGGGAGGAACACCAGAGGCGAAGGCGGCGACCUGGACAGGUACUGACACUAAACUACGAAAGCGUGGGGAGCAAACAGG
rnacentral:rRNA from 1 species